GAUGAACGCUGGCGGCGUGCCUAAUACAUGCAAGUCGAGCGAACAGAUGAGGAGCUUGCUCCUCUGACGUUAGCGGCGGACGGGUGAGUAACACGUGGAUAACCUACCUAUAAGACUGGGAUAACUACGGGAAACCGGAGCUAAUACCGGAUAAUAUAUUGAACCGCAUGGUUCAAUAGUGAAAGACGGUUUUGCUGUCACUUAUAGAUGGAUCCGCGCCGCAUUAGCUAGUUGGUAAGGUAACGGCUUACCAAGGCAACGAUGCGUAGCCGACCUGAGAGGGUGAUCGGCCACACUGGAACUGAGACACGGUCCAGACUCCUACGGGAGGCAGCAGUAGGGAAUCUUCCGCAAUGGGCGAAAGCCUGACGGAGCAACGCCGCGUGAGUGAUGAAGGUCUUCGGAUCGUAAAACUCUGUUAUUAGGGAAGAGCAAAUGUGUAAGUAACUAUGCACGUCUUGACGGUACCUAAUCAGAAAGCCACGGCUAACUACGUG
rnacentral:rRNA from 1 species